GGUGAACGCUGGCGGUAGGCCUAACACAUGCAAGUCGAACGGCAGCACAGUAAGAGCUUGCUCUUACGGGUGGCGAGUGGCGGACGGGUGAGGAAUACAUCGGAAUCUACUUUUUCGUGGGGGAUAACGUAGGGAAACUUACGCUAAUACCGCAUACGACCUACGGGUGAAAGCAGGGGAUCUUCGGACCUUGCGCGAUUGAAUGAGCCGAUGUCGGAUUAGCUAGUUGGCGGGGUAAAGGCCCACCAAGGCGACGAUCCGUAGCUGGUCUGAGAGGAUGAUCAGCCACACUGGAACUGAGACACGGUCCAGACUCCUACGGGAGGCAGCAGUGGGGAAUAUUGGACAAUGGGCGCAAGCCUGAUCCAGCCAUACCGCGUGGGUGAAGAAGGCCUUCGGGUUGUAGAGCCCUUUUGUUGGGAAAGAAAAGCAGCAGGUUAAUACCCCGCUGUUCUGACGGUACCCAAAGAAUAAGCACCGGCUAACUUCGUG
rnacentral:rRNA from 1 species